CCGCGGUAUUUUAACCGUGCAAAGGUAGCAUAAUCAUUAGUUUUUUAAUUGAAGGCUUGUAUGAAUGAUUGGACGAGAUAUUAGCUGUUUCAUAUAAAAUUUAAUAGAAUUUUAUUUUUUAGUUAAAAAGCUAAAAUUUUUAUAAAAGACGAGAAGACCCUAUAGAUCUUGAUAAUUUAUAUAUUUUAUUUAUAUAGAAAAUUUAAAAUAUUAUAUUUAUAAUUAUUUUAUUGGGGUGAUAAUAAAAUUUAAUAAACUUUUAUAUAAAUUUUACAUUAAUUAAUGAAUAAUUGAUCCAUUAUUAGUGAUUAGUAAAUUAAGUUACCUUAGGGAUAACAGCGUAAUUUUUUUAGAGAGUUCAUAUCGAUAAAAAAGAUUGCGACCUCGAUGUUGGAUUAAG
rnacentral:rRNA from 1 species